AGUAAGAUGUCUUCUUAGCACUCUGACCCUCUAGAGAUACACAGGGAACUAUGGAAACUUCCUAGUGACCCAGUUUACUAUGAGGAGGUUCUUGAACUCAGCCUAGAUGGGAUUAGGAAGGAAGGAAGGGAAUUUGUGUCUUCUGAUUUUGAUUGUAGGAUAUGGGUGUUUCUCUCUGCUUGCUAAACCUUAAGUUGGUUAUCUAUACAUCUAUCGUGUUAUAUAUUCUUUUUAAUUGAAGGGAAGUCUAUGCUGAACUAGUCAGUAGAGUCUAGUAGUCGCUGCUGUAUUUUCGAAGCUUGGAAUUGGUGAUCAAGACCAGGCUGUGUUAGUCAGUAUGAACAAGGUCAUGCUGAAGUAACACACAACACUGGGAAUUUCUGGCUUAAGACAACCAAAGCUUAUUUCUUGUUGGCGUUACACAUGUUUCACAGCUUGCCUGUGGGUUCUACUGGGCCUUGUUACCAAGGGACUCAAGCCAAUAGAGACCUUCUUUCAAUGUGUGCUUCUACAGCUAGACAUCAGCACGUAGAGGCCACAGCAAGGCAUGCAGCAUUCUUUAAAGCUUCCAGGCAAAAGUGAUAUGUCACUUCCACUCAUAUUUCAUUAGCUGAAAUGAGACACAUGGCAAUUCUCAAUGUCAACAAGGCAGGACAAAGCUGUCCUGCUAUGUCCAGAAGGAGGGCUCAGCUACUUAUGAACAGCAGCACACAGCACAGUCUCUCAUUUGGAGCAUGGUUCUCUCAUUAGACUGGGAGAUGCAGGAGUCUAGCCUAAAAGAAUGGCCCCCAAGUCCACAAACCAGGGCUGAUAUUGGCCUGCCCAUAAUCACCUGAAAUUGGUCUGGAAAGGUUUCAAAGAAUUAAGGUUUAAUUUUUUAUUUUGCUUACUUAUUUUUUUUUUUUUGAGGUUUAGACAUCUAAUCGCGUGUAUGCAUGUGACUGUUGGAAGGGAGGUUUUUUGCAUGCUCAUGGAAUGCCUGCAGAGACUUGAAGAGGAGCUGAAGUAAAAGAAAAUGGUAACUGCCCAGCGUGGGUGCUAGGACCUGACCUUAGGUCCACUGCAAGAGCAGCGCACUCUUAACCACUGAGCCAUCUCUUUUGCCCCCUUCAAGCUGGGUUUUUAAGAGAAGGACAAGCUUGGCAGAAGGACCUAGUGAGGCCUACCCAGAACCUCUGUUCACACGGAGAGCAUGAGAUGGUGAGGUUAAAGCAUCCUACAGAUGUAGUGAGGCUGGACCUCUAUGCACCCACCUGUGUGGAUCAAAGUCUGCAAAGGUAUUAACCAAAGUCCAAAUGGCUUGUAGUGCUACCUGCUUGAGUGUCUCCUUGGAUGUUUCUUGAAUUGUAUACCUUAGCAGAGAUGACCACAUGCAUACGAACCCUAUGUUUGGACACUCCAUACUUGAUAUCAUUGUGUUGAAUUUGUGAGAAGAGGUUUUGGGGAAAGCAGCCCCACAGUGGUUGAUUAAAAUGCGGUAUGUUCAUAGAGAAAGUUGAUGGACUUUACUUUUGCCUUAGGAAGGCUCUCUGGGGCACUCCAGGUUCAUGGUUGGAGAUAGCAAUGUUUCAGUGCCUUCCCAGCUUUACUUUGUGGAAAUGCCAUCCCCAGGAGCAGCAUAGGCAGUCAGCCUGGUCAGCAGACAACCUGGGGCUGGGGCUGGGGCUGGGCUAAACAGUAGCAGCAUACCAGAGUGGGCCCAAGAGCUCUGCAGCAUAAAUCACUCUGAAGUUUACAUCUGGCGCAGCUCUUCCCUGUGGUGUCUUACAGCAGGGCUUCAUUAUUGUGGCUGACGUGUGGAGGAUAACUCAGUUCUCACAGCAAGGCUGUGGCUUAGGGUGGGGAGCUCUGCUGACCAGGGGCUGUAGUCUAUUUUGUUCUCUGUCCCUGCCCAGAGUCACCGCCUCCAUAUCCUCAUCCUGGAGUAGACUGUGCCUAAGCACACCCCUCGCCUGUAUGUAACUUUCCACAUCCUGGAAUGUAGCUGUCCCCAUCCUGGUCCUAUUGUCACACACCCCACCCCCUGCUCAGUUUCAGAAGAAGGCAGGUCCUCAUUAGUCAGUGUGAAUAUAGCCUUCUUCUAUUGCCUUAUCCUAAGAGGACUAUGGAGUGCGGAGGGGGGAGCAGGAGGAGGGUGUGGCUGGGAUAGAAGGCAACCUUUGUGACACACAAGAACUUAAAGUCUAUCCAAAGAGACUUUAUACUCAGAAGCUGCAUAGCAGGCCAGAAAGUACCCUUUACUGGUCACAAUCUCCAAAGCCAUGACAGUGAAAGGCAGUAGGGAAGAGCUCCCAACCAGAGCACUUGAAUUAGGUGGGGAAGGAUGGACACAAAUAACCCAAGACUGGAGCUGUGGGACGUAUUCCAGGUCAGGAGCAGAGGGAGGCCAGCCUAGGCAUUUCCAGGGGUGCAGAGCUGCGUGCGUACCCGGCUCAGGGGACAGCCUAUUCAGGGACUUUUGGAUGCAGGACGGAUCGAGGUAGCGGGGAAGAGCUGCCAGAGGCCUUCAGGGCAAGUGAUGGGCACACCGGUGUUCCAGAUGGCACAAGGGGGACAGCGGUCCUGCAUGAGCCAAGAAGUCAGCUUCCUAGAGCAAGUCCUAUACCCAGAACAUCCUGAAUAAUUCACAAGACCAUCCCUGCCCUGCCCCACCCUGCCCCGCCCCACCCCACCCUGCAGUUUGAGCAGUCCCCAGUGAACCCUAGCUGCACCUUUUCUAGCAGUCACCUGAGUCAAAAGCCACAGGACCACCAGUGGGGCUGCAAGACUCCCUGUUUACUUGCAGCUCAGUGGGAGCUGUGGCUGUCUGAUUGCCUUCACUAGAUGCUCAUUUUCCCUGCUGCUCCGUCAGGCUUAGCCCCAUUAUCCUCAUUAGUCUCUGGCUGCACUGCACUCUCCUGGUACCCUCCCAGAGAACCCUCUCCCUUGGACCAGUGGGAGGAAGCGCCCACCCUCAUUGGAUUCCUUCUGUCCUGGUCGGGCAGACAUUCCAUAUGGGAAGUAUAAGUACCUCUCAGGUCAAGUCCUGGGUCCUAAAGCCAGACAGGGUUUGACUUUUCUGAGACUGCCUGAGGGAUCAGGAUUCCUCAAGCAGAGGACUAGUGACAACCACCAAGUGCCCAGAAUAGGAUUCCAUCCCAUACACAGUCUUCACUAGGAUCCCAGUGGUGGGUACAGGAGGUGAGCCACACCCUGUGUCUGUGAGCUGUUCCUUCUACAGACGUAAUGGGCGUGCACCAACCAUUCCAUACCCUUCAUCCCCACCGCUUGGGGCCAGCAGCCUUUCUUGGGUACCUGGGGUUAGAGGUUUCCUAUGUGCUACUGUACUACAAAGCUAAUUGGUCCAGACAGGGCUGUGACCUGGCCUUAAGCAUAAUUGCUCAAUAAGCGCUCUGCUGGCCGUGGGUGUUCUUAUUUCUGAGGUUGUCCUUUUGCAAUAGGCCCUCCCUUGUAGCUUUAGAGGAAAAGGCCUUACGACUGCCUGAGGCUCAGAAUAGUAAGACAGUUCCACUCUUCCCGUGACAAGUCCCUUAGCAUUCACAAGCCCUGCUGCCUGCUGGGGUUUGCCUGCUGCAGAGUCCAGCUCCCACUGGUGACCACAGCACAGCCUCCCCCUACUCUUGCCUCUUGCUGCAGCACAGAGCUGACUGGGUAAGCCCUCACUGCCCUGUACCCAGCCCUGCACCCCCCUCAUUAGUAUGCUGUAUCUCUCGAUGGUAUAAAUAGCUAAUCUUUGCCUUACACAGGAAUGAAUAGGAAAUCAUUAGGCAACCAGCUCCUGCACCAGGUCUAAACUCUGCCGCUUCAACACAGGCCCUCGCUCUUCACCACCUCUACCUGACCAAAGAGCACAGAUGAGUUUGUCUGCUUCUUCUGUCACCUGAUAACACAGAGUGACAUUUUUCCCUGGAGGGAUAUUUUUUGGCCUUCUGGACACUGUCACAAUGUUGUAUUGUAUCCCCUAAAUCAGCAACAAUUCAGAGAGACCAGGGCCUUGGGGCAAACGAGUGAGCAGACUAGCAACAGAUUUGAAGUGUUGGGGCCAUUUUGAGGCAGACUUCUUAUUUCUUGUGGUCCACAGUGUUCUGACUCUGUUCUCAUUCUUGGUCUUGGGAAAGGUCAAGGCUGGCACAGUCCUCAAAGAUGAUCUAGCCCUAACCUAACCAGCUUGCCUUCACCUGCCACAGACAAGCGCUUUAGGACUGUGGGAAUCACACGACUUGCCCAGGUGACUGCAGAAGCUAAUGAGUAGGAGACCUAGAUCUCACAGCACACUCUGUGUCCUUCCGGCCACCCGCCCUGACUAGUUCCUCAGAGGGACUUCUCUUGCCCUGUUUGUUUUCCUAACACCCCACUUUUGUCCCAAGGCCCCCAUCUUGUCACUGCCUAUACAGUGAGCUGCCAAAGGGCACAGAAGGAGGCAAUGUCAGCAGCAAAAGCACGAUGAAAAGAGAAGCCAUUCAUCAAUGUGCCGUUGUGCUGAGCCAGCUAACCCCCCACUUAAAACCUCCCCAUGUGCAUAAAUAUUAAUACCUUAAGGGAGAAGGUGGAAUAUGAGCCACGGAGUCUCGGUCAGGCUGGUCCAAUUCCUAGCAUAUUUUUAUGGUAUUUGACAUAUCGUAAAAGCAGCAGCCAGCUCCCACUCAAACCCCAUGACCAUCUGAUUCUCAUCUUUAUCAGCUGCUUCCUGUACACACACUUUCCUCUCGUGUUUCAGUUGAUAUCUACUUAUUCUGCAUGAAUAUUUUUUUCCUUUCUAGACAAAAUCCCUAAGGUCUGAGGGUAUCCCUGGGGCUGUAUGGACACUCAGAGUGGAGUGAUUUCCAUGGGAUCCACUUGGCCUUGGGAUGAAGGCUGGAACUGGAGGACCAGGCGUGUUAAAGCCUUUGGCCUUCUCUGGUCAACACAGACUAGCCUUUCCAUCAGUUUUCAUGGCCUGAGAUGUACUAACUUACAUCAGAGGACUCCAUGUCUGUCGUUUUAGAGUUUUGUUCCACUGAUGCUCUGAACUUGACAUAGCCUAGACAUCACCAGUGGGCAGCUUUGAGAAUGGUUUCUAAGAUCUAUUGUAUAUUGUCAACUUAAGACUCAAGGUGAUGGGUAUGGAGGUGAGCUCGGGAGAAGCAAGAGGACAAACCUAGAUGGCUAGAAUGUAUGGAGUCACGAUUGCUGGGUUAGUGAUGACCCCUGGGGCUCUCAGCCUUUUGAGGUAAUUCUCACCACCUGCUAGAAAGUCCUCAGUUUCCAUGUACAAUGAGCAGCCCUAUCAGGUUACAGGGUGAGUGGUAGGAGUCAUCCCGGGUGAGCUGACCUUCUUUUGGUCUGCUUCUCUGAAGCUGGCUAGGAGAAAAAUCUCCCAAGAUACUUGCCUCUGUCUGGAAUGGCAGCCUGUAUACUUACAGCCCCCCAGUUCCCAUCAUUGGGAAUGUCAUUCUCUCUUUUCAGUGACCCAGUCAGUGUGUUCCAGCCCAGCUCCACACACCCUUGCCACACAAAGUGAGUGGCAGUGUCACCUUGAGGGUGACAUGGGAAUGGUAUUUACUCUACCAAAGCUUAGUGGUGCCCCAGCUGCCUGCCAAGCCUCUCAGUAAGACCACACCCACAAUCCUGUUCCCCCCUUCCCGUUUGCUUCCCCAGUUCCAGGCUUCACGGUCAAACACAUAAACAAACACGACCCCUCUUUGUUGUUUGAUCUUUUUUUUUUUUUUUUUUUUUGGAGCUGAGGACUGAACCCAGGACUUUGUGCUGCUAGGCAAGCGCUCUACCGCUGAGCUAAAUCCCCAACAAGACCCCUCUUUAAACUUCUGAGGGUAACUGAGCUUUCUCUUCCCACCCUCAGUUUUAGCCUUACCUUCCCAUAUCCAACCCAAACCUCACGGUCUAAAAUGAGGUUGUUACCCAUUGCCUUACCCUAUUCCGUGCAUCCUCCCCAGGAGACGUCUGUGCUUUCGAGUGACAUUAAUUUCCUCUUGGUACCUAAGUACUGUGGACUCUUGCAGAGCCACUUGCCUGCACGUGGCCCAGGGGCCCCUGUUGGGAAGAUGAGUUCAACUGUACCUGAGACUGCAGGCAGGGGACCUACUCCAUCUCAGCCCCUCCAUGUUACUGGUGGCUGCUGGAAGUCAGCUAACUCUUCUUUCUCAGCGUGGGGUGGGGGGUAAGAAGAGACCUAAUGAGGUCUUUCCUGGAGAAGCAGCAAGGCUAUGAGGAAACCACAAAUAUGGGGUGGGGGGUACUGACCCCCAGAAAUAGGCAGACUUACCAGAGAGAACCAAAGAACCUACCAAGGGAGGGGUGAAGAGUCUCUCACCUUUGGCCUGGCACUUACAGGCCUUGUUAGUUCAUGGCCUGUGCUUACUUUCUUUUUUUUUUUUUUUUUUUUUUUGGUUCUUUUUUUCGGAGCUGGGGACCGAACCCAGGGCCCUGCGCUUCCUACGUAAGCGCUCUACCACUGAGCUAAAUCCCCAGCCCCUGUGCUUACUUUCUUAUGGUCACCCUGGCCCUCAGAGCUCCUUUUAACUUAGAGGACCAGGUAACCCCCAGGGCUACUGGGAAAACCCAAAGAAGGGCUGGGCUCUACACCUGGGCAGUUGCGAAGACAGAACGUGUGUUAGUAGCCAGGAUCAAAGAGAAACCUAAAGGGGACAAUUCAGAAGCCAGUGGAGGUGGACACAGAUGGCUGCCCCCAGCCACCCCAGCA